rnacentral:rRNA from 1 species
AUUGAACGCUGGCGGCAUGCCUUACACAUGCAAGUCGAACGGCAGCACGGGAGCAAUCCUGGUGGCGAGUGGCGAACGGGUGAGUAAUAUAUCGGAACGUGCCCAGUCGUGGGGAUAACGUAGCGAAAGCUACGCUAAUACCGCAUACGAUCUACGGAUGAAAGCGGGGGAUCGCAAGACCUCGCGCGAUUGGAGCGGCCGAUAUCAGAUUAGGUAGUUGGUGAGGUAAAGGCUCACCAAGCCGACGAUCUGUAGCUGGUCUGAGAGGACGACCAGCCACACUGGGACUGAGACACGGCCCAGACUCCUACGGGAGGCAGCAGUGGGGAAUUUUGGACAAUGGGCGGCAAGCCUGAUCCAGCAAUGCCGCGUGCAGGAUGAAGG